UACGGCAAUAUCAUGUUGAAACAUAGGUUCCCGUACGAUCACCAAAGUUAAGCAACGUCGAGCCUGGUCAGUACCUAGAUGGGUGACCGCUUGGUAAUACCAGGUGUUGUUG